UGAGGAAUAUUGGUCAAUGGGCGCAAGCCUGAACCAGCCAUCCCGCGUGCAGGAAGACGGCCCUAUGGGUUGUAAACUGCUUUUUCGGGGGGGGAGAAUUUUUCCGUCGUGACGGGAAUUGACGGUACCCCGGGAAUAAGCAUCGGCUAACUCCGCGCCAGCAGCCGCGGUAAUACGGAGGAUGCGAGCGUUAUCCGGAUUUAUUGGGUUUAAAGGGUGCGUAGGCGGAAUGAUAAGUCAGUGGUGAAAACCUGCAGCUUAACUUUAGACUUGCCGUUGAUAAUGUCAGUCUCGAGUGUGGUCAAGGGAGGCGGAAUGUGUAAUGUAGCGGUGAAAUGCUUAGAUAUUACACGGAACACCGAUUGCGAAGACAGCUUACUGGGCCAUUACUGACGCUGAUG
rnacentral:rRNA from 1 species